GCCAAAGUCGUUGUAGAGAGCUGAACUGAUGCUCAUGGAGAAAUUUCCUCUGCUGGUAUCGACCAAGACUGAAAAUCUUUUCUGAAAAUGCUGAUCAAUCUGACACGUCUCAUGGUGGCACGAAGCAAUGAAAGAUUUGAUGGAGUGACUGAAGGAAAUAAGAGGUUCACAAGAUAACAUGAAGGUCAUGGGUGGAAGAAAACACUCCUGGGACAUGUACAUGCUUAAAGUCCAGGUAUGUGCUGAUAAACUGUGAUAUUGUUGAACAAUAUGGUUAUCAUAGACACAACAAAUGUAGUACUCAGCCAAAUGGCAGAUACAUUGUAAAUUUAUAUCCUACCUAACAUAAUUCCAAUUCCAAAAAAGGAGAGUUAUGAUAUUUUUGUGGUCAUAUGUCAUACUUUCUUAUUCAAACUCGGCAAAUAGUAUGCAGUUUGCAUUCAAUAACAUUAGCUUCACUGCUCCAAAUAGAUUAGGGAGACAAACGUACAACAUUAAAUUAAAUCCUGUGAGUCAUUAGCAGUUUCGUUAGUGCUAAUGGCUGUCCUGUGAAGGCCUGUGGCAUUGAUAAUGAAUAAAUGCAAGUCUCUCGACUCUGAAAGCUCUGUUUACAAGAGCAGGAAUUAUGUUAGCUCCUGGAUAGCAGCGAGCGAGCGAGGGCCUAAACUAUUGUCCUUUGCACUGGUGGCACCUGAUUUAUAGUGAAUAUUAUUUUUAACCAUCCAUCUUUUGUAGCGAGCGGUAACAGAAUGUUGACUGAACAUCCUUUUAAUUUACAUUUAAUUUGAUUGAUCUGCAGAUGCAAAAGACCCUGCCGGCAGGAAAAAAAGCCACGUUCAUAAACAUGGUUAAAGAGCAGAGGGGGAAAAGAGAUUUUAAUUAAGCAUUCUCCAGCUGAAAGCUCUGAAGUGAUUUGGUGUAAAUCAGCCACUGCAAGAUAAAGAAUUCUGCAGGAACUGCUAGUUAUGAAGUCCUUCACUUAAACUAAACUAAACACUAAACUUCGCUGAAUUAUUCAACAUCAGCUAAUCAGGAGAAGUUGAAUCUGUUCUGCAGCUUAUAGAAUAGCACUUGAUCCAGCACAUCUUUUUUUUUUUUUUUUUUGCAUUCUAUGUGUUUUCAAAUCAUGCUCCAACAUCUUAAUGUGGUCACAGGAAGCUAAAUCAAGGUCUUGAAAUCAUACUGUGAGCACUGGGACAUAGGCUACUUUAUUGCGCAUUUAAUCUGCCAUUUUGAAUUAUUGAAUUAAUAAAAUAGUGCUAAUGAUUCUGCUCUUUCUGAAAAAAAAUGGAAAAAAUAAUGGACGAUCUGCUAAUUAAUACAUAAAGGUCACAUACAGUAACAUAUAUAGACGUAGUGGUCCCCCAUACACUCCCUAUCCCCCCCCACCCCACCCCCGGCUCCAGGCUCGUCCUCCCUGACAUCAGAUACACUUUUAACACAUACUUAUAUGUUGCUUACAUGAAGGCUUACCUAACAAUCUUUUCCUUUCUCUCCAUCUCUCUCUCUCCCUCACUUUCUGUCGAGCUACACACGCUAUUCCUGAGAUGCCAGUGAUGCCAGUGAUCCUGACCCCUUCUGCUCCUCCUCGCUGCCUGACCCAUCCUGAUGCCCUACUUCUGGUUGGAGUUCUCAUCGGUUGAGUUUGCUCGCUGCUGCUGGGGGUGGCCCCAUAUGGACUGCCUGAAGAACUGUUUGGAUUGCUGGGGAUGGUGCCACCUGGGGGCUGUGGAGAUGGCUUGGGGAUCACAUAUGGGGAGCUGUACUGUAAUGGCUUGGGACUGCGAUUGCUGUAGUGGCUUUGGGGCUGCAGUUGCCAUGAGCAGCUUUGUACUCAGGACUCCAUCAGUGGACAGUGGAUAGAUUUUCAACCAGCCGGACUUCUUACAAAAACUGUGAUGAAUUUAUUGGUUGCACAAUUGCACUAUUUGUCCAUAUAGUACACAACAGAAGGGAUUUAUUUAUAAUCGCACUAUCCGUUGCACCCAGAUGAGGAUGGGUUCCCUUUUUGAGCCUGGUUCCUCUCAAGGUUUCUUCCUCAUAUCAUCUUGGGGAGUUUUUCCUUGCCACCGUCGCCACUGGCUUGCUCAUUAGGGAUAAAUUCACGAUGACAUCAUUCAAGGACUUCGUGAGAUUGCUCCCGAUGCCGCUGUCUUGACGAGCUUUGAAAACAGGGACACAGACACAGGAUCCUCUAGCUCUGACUCGGAGGAACCCCUAGCCGUGCUGGAGUCGCUGAUAUCAUUACCUGAUCCUACUUGCACACGUGCGUCACCAGAGGAAAUUCAACUGAGAUGCAAGGAAGCUUAUCGCAGACUGAAACCGAGUGUGAUCCAGCGUGAUCAGUGUGGCAGAAUUGAAGCUACCACUAGACAGCAGUCUAAGUGUCAGGACUGGCACUCACACAGGGUUGGUAGAAUAACCAGCACUACAUUCCACAGUAUAUGCACCACCACAGACAAUCUGGACAAGACAACCUUAAUGAAAAUAAUGCAAUAUUAUGAUACAGACUUCUGGGUUCCAGUAGUCUUUGGGAUAAAGAGAAAAAAGAACCUGCCAGAUAGUAUUACACCAAUCUAAUGUCCAAGGCUCAUCAAGAUGUCAAGGUUAACACGUGUGAUCUUGUGGUGCGUUCUGAUAGCCACAUCUUGUCUGUUCUCCAGAUGGAAUGAUUAUAUAUACUGAUAUACUGAAUAUACUGAAUGAUUAUAUAUAUAUACUUGCUUUGGAAAAAAGCAAUUGAAAUCAAGUGCCCAUACAAGUAUCGAGAAGGUGUUCAGUGACUAUGGGAAUUUUUGCCUAGACAAGUCCUUUCAACUAAAGCACGGACAUAACCCUACCCUUAAAACACUGGUGGUGUUCAUCUCUUGUAAAAAGCCAGACUUUGGGAAAAUGAUUGACUGUAAGAAUUGUUUAAAAAAAAAAAAUCAUUACAGCUGUGCACAAAUCACUGUAAUGGCCACUGAAACAGCACUGCCGUCAAUGUCCAACUACGUGAGUGUUCCUGACCUCACUGUCCCUCUCUGUCUGUACAAAGAACCUACACCACAAAGUACAGUCUACAUCAGGACAAAUAAACCAAACUAUGUAACAAUAGUAACAAAUAGUAAUGUUGUAACAAACACUCAUUUUACAGUUGUCAUAAGCUCUUGCUAAUGAUGUUAGUGUUACUAGUUCAGUUCAAUCAUUUAUGAAAUUACUACAAAACAGUAUGUAUUAUAAAUAUUUAUUAAUAACAUACA